rnacentral:rRNA from 1 species
UACGAAGGGGGCUAGCGUUGUUCGGAAUCACUGGGCGUAAAGGGUGCGUAGGCGGGUCUUUAAGUCAGGGGUGAAAUCCUGGAGCUCAACUCCAGAACUGCCUUUGAUACUGAGGAUCUUGAGUUCGGGAGAGGUGAGUGGAACUGCGAGUGUAGAGGUGAAAUUCGUAGAUAUUCGCAAGAACACCAGUGGCGAAGGCGGCUCACUGGCCCGAUACUGACGCUGAGGCACGAAAGCGUGGGGGAGCAAACAGG